rnacentral:rRNA from 1 species
UAGGGAAUCUUCCACAAUGGACGAAGUCUGAUGGAGCAACGCCGCGUGAGUGAUGAAGGGUUUCGGCUCGUAAAACUCUGUUGUUGGAGAAGAACGGGUGUCAGAGUAACUGUUGACAUCGUGACGGUAUCCAACCAGAAAGCCACGGCUAACUACGUGCCAGCAGCCGCGGUAAUACGUAGGUGGCAAGCGUUGUCCGGAUUUAUUGGGCGUAAAGCGAGCGCAGGCGGUUUUUUAGGUCUGAUGUGAAAGCCUUCGGCUUAACCGGAGAAGUGCAUCGGAAACCGGGAGACUUGAGUGCAGAAGAGGACAGUGGAACUCCAUGUGUAGCGGUGAAAUGCGUAGAUAUAUGGAAGAACACCAGUGGCGAAGGCGGCUGUCUGGUCUGCAACUGACGCUGAGGCUCGAAAGCAUGGGUAGCGAACAGGAUUAGAUACCCUGGUAGU